UAUGGCUAUAUCAUGUUGAAACACCAAUUCUCUUCUGAUUACUGAAGUUAAGCACUGUCAAAUCUUGCCAGUACCUAGAUGGGUGACCACUUGGGAAUACCAGGUGCUGUAAG